rnacentral:rRNA from 1 species
UACGUAGGUGGCAAGCGUUGUCCGGAUUUACUGGGCGUGAAGAGCGCGCAGGCGGUUGGAUAAGUCGAAUGUGAAAGCCCACGGCUCAACUGGGGAGGGUCAUUCGAUACUGUCCAACUUGAAGGCAGGAGAGGGCAGCAGAAUUCCCGGUGUAGUGGUGAAAUGCGUAGAUAUCGGGAGGAAUACCAGUGGCGAAGGCGGCUGCCUGGCCUGUUCUUGACGCUGAGGCGCGAAAGCUGGGGGAGCAAACGGG